rnacentral:rRNA from 1 species
UGGGGAAUAUUGCACAAUGGGGGGAAACCCUGAUGCAGCAACGCCGCGUGAAGGAUGAAGGUUUUCGGAUCGUAAACUUCUAUCAACAGGGACGAAACAAAUGACGGUACCUGAAUAAGAAGCCCCGGCUAACUACGUGCCAGCAGCCGCGGUAAUACGUAGGGGGCAAGCGUUAUCCGGAAUUACUGGGUGUAAAGGGAGCGUAGGCGGCACGUCAAGCCAGAUGUGAAAGCCCGGGGCUUAACCCCGUGGAUUGCAUUUGGAACUGGCGAGCUAGAGUACAGGAGAGGAAAGCGGAAUUCCUAGUGUAGCGGUGAAAUGCGUAGAUAUUAGGAAGAACACCAGUGGCGAAGGCGGCUUUCUGGACUGAAACUGACGCUGAGGCUCGAAAGCGUGGGGAGCAAACAGGAUUAGAUACC